rnacentral:rRNA from 1 species
UACGAAGGGGGCUAGCGUUGCUCGGAAUUACUGGGCGUAAAGGGCGCGUAGGCGGACAGUUUAGUCAGAGGUGAAAACCCAGGGCUCAACCCUGGGCCUGCAUUCGAUACGGGCAGACUAGAGUUCGGUAGGGGAGACUGGAAUUCCUGGUGUAGCGGUGAAAUGCGCAGAUAUCAGGAGGAACACCGGUGGCGAAGGCGGGUCUCUGGGCCGAAACUGACGCUGAGGAGCGAAAGCGUGGGGAGCAAACAGG